UUUAAAAUAUUACAUAAAAAAUUUCAAAAUAUAAUUAAUAUUUAUAAUAAUAUUAUCAUCAUUUACUUUAAAAGUCUAGCCACUACGAUUUUCCUAAUACUUUCGAAAUGAAAACUCCGAAGAGAAAUAUUUUAUCUUGUGCUGUGUCAAUCUGCUAUUCGCCUCAUGUGAACUGCUGUCUUACCAUAGAUUUCCUAAAGCCAAUGACAUUCAUGCAAAAUGGAUCCAAGCUUGUCAUAGACAAGACCCAUUCAAUCCCGAAACUGCCAGAGUUUGUUCUAGACAUUUUGAGGAAGAGUCCUUUCAGGAAAAUCUAAAUGACGAACUCAUGUCUAACUACGGAAAGACUUCUAGUAGCAAGGUUUGGAAAACUUUGAGAUCAAAGGUUUUUCCUACUUUAUAUUUGGUUCCUGAAAGCUCUAUUUGAGCUGCAGAGACAGAAAACUCAAAUGUUAAAAGGACAAAAAGGCUCUCCUCCAGGAACACAAAAAAAGUUGUCAAUUGACUUAUCACUACUCCCAAACAUGGACGUUUGAAAGUUGAUAAGCCACCUGAAGAAUACUCUGAUGCUAUGGAAGUAUCAUUUGAAUAUUUAAAGCCUUCUUUGGAUAUCUCCUUGGGGACUAUUGAAGAGAAUAUAAUACCCCAACAAAACAUAGUUAUGUAUAAUGAACAGCUUCUUCAUUGGGGGAAGGAAAAGAAAAGACUUCUCAUGAAAAUAAAUAGACUUGAAAAAAAAAAAAAUUACUUCUCUUCAAAAAGUCAGUUUGACCAAAAGUACAUUUAAAAGAAGUGAAGUUAAAGCCUAUAAAUGUAAAUUAAGUAAAAUAUUUUCACCAAGUCAAAUCAAUGUUCUAAUGAAUGAUAAUGUUAACGACGCUGGACCUAAAAAAUGGACGGAGGAAGUUAUUCAGAGGUAUCUCAUUCUGAGAUCAAUGACUGGAGGAAAAACCUAUGAAUAUCUUAUUUAUAGCUUAUGACUUUAGACUUCAAGGAUUGGGUUAUAUCAGUUAUAUCUUGGCCAAGAAGUUUGCUUCGAAAUAUCCUGAAAUUGGUUUCAAGACUAGAGAUUAUCCUUUUUGUGAUUCAUAUAUGACACCGUCGAUAUCAGCAUUAUCCAAAGGAGGACUGACAAAACCUUCAAAAUUCCUUCCUUACUCAGAUAAAAAAAAUGAUGCAAUCUUUGAAGCAGGAAAUAUCGAGCCAACCUAAUGUUAUUGAGACUUUAAUAUCAAUUGUUCAAAGUUCAGCUCCAGAUUUCCACCAAGAUAUUAUUAGAAAGUACGCUCGUCUAAGAACAUUUAUAAGAAUUAAGGCCCUGAAUAUAAGUAUAAAUUAUCAAAAAAAUAAUGAAAUUUGUAGAAAAUUAAAGAAAUUAUCCCAUAAUAUUUAAUUUUUUUGUUGUAAUAUAACCCUUUAAUUCGUAAAACUCUGGAUGACUCUCUUUGUUAGGAAAUGAUAUUAAUAAAACUACUUUAAUUUAACUCCAACAAUUAGAAUAACUAAUAUUCACGAACAACUGAGUAUAACUUUAUUAAAGAGAUAAAAACUCAUGAAUUGGCCAAUUACCAAUCUUAUGUUUCUACUACAUUGAUAAUUAAUGACAAUAGAUAGGUAUAUUACUGUAAAUAAGAGUAGAUUGCAGUCAAUUUAUGAAUUUAUUCAACAUUAAUAAUAAUAUUGUAAAUUACAAUUAGACAAAGAUUGAAGAGCAUUAUCACUAUUCCUAAUGAAAUAAAUCGCCAUUUUAUUCCA
rnacentral:lncRNA from 1 species